rnacentral:rRNA from 1 species
UAGGUCUCAGUUCAGAUUGCAGGCUGCAACCCGCCUGCGUGAAGUCGGAAUUGCUAGUAAUCGCGGAUCAGCAUGCCGCGGUGAAUACGUUCCCGGGCCUUGUACACACCGCCCGUCACACCAUGGGAGCCGGUAAUACCCGAAGUCAGUAGUCCAACCUCGUGAGGACGCUGCCGAAGGUAGGAUUGGCGACUGGGGUGAAGUCGUAACAAGGUACC